GACGAACGCUGGCGGCGUGCCUAAUACAUGCAAGUAGAACGCUGAAGAGAGGAGCUUGCUCUUCUUGGAUGAGUUGCGAACGGGUGAGUAACGCGUAGGUAACCUGCCUUGUAGCGGGGGAUAACUAUUGGAAACGAUAGCUAAUACCGCAUAACAAUGGAUGACACAUGUCAUUUAUUUGAAAGGGGCAAUUGCUCCACUACAAGAUGGACCUGCGUUGUAUUAGCUAGUAGGUGAGGUAAUGGCUCACCUAGGCGACGAUACAUAGCCGACCUGAGAGGGUGGUCGGCCCCAACGGGGACUGGACCAGGCCCCGGCCCCCUCCGGGAGGAACCAGAAGGAAAUCUUCGGCAAUGGGGCAACCCUGACCGAGCAACGCCGCGUGAGUGAAGAAGGUUUUCGGAUCGUAAAGCUCUGUUGUAAGUCAAGAACGGGUGUGAGAGUGGAAAGUUCACACUGUGACGGUAGCUUACCAGAAAGGGACGGCUAACUACGUG
rnacentral:rRNA from 1 species